GGGGGGGGGGGGGGGGGGGGGUGGCGCGGGCGGGGCGGGGGGGGCCUGCGGGUCUAGUGGCGCGCGGGUGCGUAACGCGUGGGAGCCGGCCUUUAGGUUCGGGAUAACUCAGAGAAAUUUGAGCUAAUACCGGAUGAUGUCUUCGGACCAAAGAUUUAUCGCCUUUAGAUGGGUCCGCGUUGGAUUAGCUAGUUGGUGGGGUAAAGGCCUACCAAGGCGACGAUCCAUAGCUGGUCUGAGAGGAUGAUCAGCCACACUGGGACUGAGACACGGCCCAGACUCCUACGGGAGGCAGCAGUGGGGAAUAUUGGACAAUGGGCGAAAGCCUGAUCCAGCAAUGCCGCGUGAGUGAUGAAGGCCUUAGGGUUGUAAAGCUCUUUUACCCGAGAUGAUAAUGACAGUAGCGGGAGAAUAAGCUCCGGCUAACUCCGUG
rnacentral:rRNA from 1 species